rnacentral:rRNA from 1 species
UACGUAGGGUGCGAGCGUUGUCCGGAAUUAUUGGGCGUAAAGAGCUCGUAGGCGGUGUGUCACGUCGGCCGUGAAAACCUGCAGCUUAACUGUGGGCGUGCGGUCGAUACGGGCGGGCUAGAGUUCGGUAGGGGAGACUGGAAUUCCUGGUGUAGCGGUGAAAUGCGCAGAUAUCAGGAGGAACACCGGUGGCGAAGGCGGGUCUCUGGGCCGAUACUGACGCUGAGGAGCGAAAGCGUGGGGAGCGAACAGG